rnacentral:snRNA from 1 species
AGCUCUGUGCAGUGGCAGUAUCAUAGCCAAUGAAGUUUAUCCGAGACACGAUUAUUGCUAAAAAGAGUAAUAGCUUAAGGGACUACGGGGGAGGGGGACUCGCUUUUUACUUUAUACUUUAUAUGCUUCUGUAUCGUUAAAUAUUUUGAACAAGCAUAUGCU